UGUGACAUAAAAGACCAACUUGAAUCUUGCUUGGACUUACCAAGACUCCUCAGUUCAACUUCUCAAAAUGAGGUUCCCUGCUCAACUCUUUGCACUGCUAAUGGUUUGGUUCCCUGGAUCCAGCGGGGAAAUCGUGAUGACACAGACCCCACUGUCCCUGCCCGUCACCCCUGGAGAGCCGGCCUCCAUCUCCUGCAGGGCCAGUCAGAGCCUCCUGCACAGUAAUGGAAAAACCUAUUUGGGUUGGUUCCGGCAGAAGCCAGGCCAGUCCCCGCAGGGCCUUAUCUACUUAGUUUCCAACCGUUUCACUGGGGUCCCAGACAGAUUCAGUGGCAGUGGGUCAGGGAAAGAUUUCACCCUGACCAUCAGCAGGGUGGAGGCUGAUGACGUGGGAGUUUAUUACUGCGGGCAAAAUCUACAGUCUCCUCCCACAGUGGUUCAGGCCCGAACACAAACCUCCUGCCUGGGGUCCCGGCUGCCCCAGUGAGCAGCUUCUCUGGGGAACUCACAGGACGUUCUCUGAGUCUGUGUGAGAGGAAGGAGCUGGAGGCCCCGGGGG